rnacentral:rRNA from 1 species
GACGUAGGGUGCGAGCGUUGUCCGGAUUUAUUGGGCGUAAAGAGCUCGUAGGCGGCUUGGCAAGUCGGGUGUGAAAACUUCAGGCUCAACCUGGAGCGGCCACUCGAUACUGCCAUGGCUUGAGUCCGGUAGGGGACCACGGAAUUCCUGGUGUAGCGGUGAAAUGACGCAGAUAUCAGGAGGAACACCGGUGGCGAAGGCGGUGGUCUGGGCCGGAACUGACGCUGAGGAGCGAAAGCGUGGGGAGCGAACAGG